GCAAACCCAAACCCAAGUUCCAUUCGCCUCCGCAGUCCUCCUCUCCUCGGGAUCCUACCUAAUCAGUGCAUCCUUGUCCCCUCCUCAUUUUGCAACCCAGCCAACCAGUGCUUCCGAGCCGAUCCAUCCAUCCACCGAAGCUUGCGUAGCCGCUGUUGCCUCCCGCUCCCGACACCAGCCCCACAGCCCUCGUCCCCGACCACGAGGUCAUGUAGCACGCGUCUCCCCCGCCGGCGAGUAUCCUCAGUGCCUGCCGGGCAGCCUUUCCUCUCGAAGACCAGGGCCUCGUACUCGAGCGCGCUGCUCCGAUCACAUCGUGCGGGACCCGAUGCCUCCUCCUCCAGCAUCCUCGUGCUGACGGCAACCGGCGCCGCCUUCGAGACCAGGAGCCCCCGGCUACCUCCACCUGCCGCGCAGACCCGUUCGACGACCGCUGGCACCCGCAUCUCCUCCUCCCUCUCCCGUAAGGUGCAUGCACGAGCUCGACCACGAGACCCAGGUCAUGCCGGCGCCCCUACCUCGUCAUCUCCCUCAAGCGCGGUCUCUCUCUCUCACUCGUUCUCUCUCCUCUUCUUCGCAGGAACACGGGCAGCCAUGGCCAUGGAGCCUCGCCGCCCGUGGUCUCGUCCCCGCCGGAUAUGGAUCUGCAGCGACUCCGCAUUCCAAUCCAGGUGGAAUUUCUCGCCUUCAUCGCCGAUGAGGUAGCGCUGUCGUGCAUCCACGUCGCCUCCUCCUCUGGAUCGGGAGGGAGACAACGCCCACCGCUGGCGUUGACCUCAAGCACCAGCGGUGCAUGGGCCGACCCCGACCACGAGGCCACCGCGGCCCAGCAGCGCGACCGUGUCAGCCCAGUGCCCUGUGCUACCCCUCUCCAGUGCCCAAACCAGCCCAGCAAGCCCAUGGUGAGCAGCUGCUCUGCCUCCCUAUCAAGCUUGGAGCUAUAAUGCACUUGUGCACUGGAUAGCUAUUAGACGUUUGCGUGUACCUGCACAGUAAUUCUAGAUUUGGCCCAUCUCAUUUUUUUUCCUUGUGUACGAAUUUAGCAAUUUCCAGUGAAUAACAGAUUUACACAGAACCCCUUAAACUCAUGCAUUUAAUAACUUGAGAACCGUGCAUCGGUUGAAAAUGUUAUAUAUAUGAGAAAUGCUUAGAAUUCUGUGUCGUUUCACAAUAUCUAACUCUCACAUGUGUUUAAAAUAAUUUAACUUGUUGUUUUCAUGUAAUUUGCAUAAUGUCAUGCUAAAACGGUUUUCAUCGUAACUAUUUAACCAUAGCUCUGAUUAAAAUGAUACACACAUUUAACUUUAAAAAAAAUGUGUAGAACAACUUGGUGACAUUUAUUUUGUUGUUUAACAACUCUAAAAUUAUGUAUAGGCAGAAUACUACCGAAAUCUUAUUUGCAUAUGGGGACUUUCUGAAAUUGUUAUUCGUUGUUCUGGCCUCAUUGAAACUUUCUUAGAAUUUAUGUAGUUUCAUAAUAACUUGUUGCAUCCUUUAAUUACAUGCUUGAGGCUUUCAUUUGCAUACACUUUGCAUUCAUAGCAUAUUAUCUUACAAUGGUCAGAUCUUUUAGAUCGUAGAUCCCUUUUAAAUGAUUUAUAUAUGUAAACUGAUUAUAAUGACGUGUAGAAUCAUGUGGUCCAUUUUAUUUUUCUGUUUCAUAAAUAUAAAACAUGUUUUAGGUAGAUCUGGACCAAUUUCAAAAUUAACAUAUGGGGUCAUUUCGGAAAUGAUAUAUGUUCUUUUCAACCUCAUUUAACAUGCCUAGGUAGUCUAGUUUAUUUAUACUUCACCUCUUGCCAUGUUUAACAACAUUUAAUAUUGUCGUGUAUCUAAACGGGAGUGAACUAAGUAAUUCAAAUAUGAAGUUUCGUCAAUAUGCUACUCGUUGCAUAUUGACCUUUAUUUAAUGUGUAGUAAUAAAUUGUUGUGAUUUUUUGUGUCGUGCAUAAUUAAAUGGACAUGCAUCAUAAUUGCUUGCACAUCAUGCCUUUCAUAUGUUGUGGUGUUUAUUGAUGUUGAUUGUUGUUUUCGGAUUCUAUCUUCUUCACAGAGUUUCAAACCGCUUGGGAGUGUGAGGAUUCAUUUGACUAGGUUGGUGCAUCUCCUUAAUGGAUUUGUCUUUUUCCAAGCGGGAUCAUAGGCAAGAUGAUGAUUUCCCUAGACACCAUUAUUAUCAUUGUCAUGCUAGUUGUCUCGUUUCUAUUGCUAUGUCUCGCUGCCUAUCACCUGCUAUGUCAAGCCUCCCAACAUUGCCAUGAAAAGCUUCUAACCCCUCCACAUCCUAGCAAACCAUUGUUUGGCAACAUUACCGAUUGCUCAGCCUUCUUAUAAUGUUGCUAGUUGCAGGCGCAGUUGCUUACAUGUGAAAACACGGGUUUCUUGUUAUAUCACCAUAUAAUUGCUAUUUAAUUUAAUGCACCUAUAUACUUGGUAAAAGGUGGAAGGCUUGGCCUUCUGGCCUGGUGUUUUGUUCCAUCUUUGUCGCCCUAGUUACUUGUGUACCGGUCUUAUGUUUCAUAAUUGAGCGCUCCUAAUAUACUUGGGGUUGUUAUGUGGACCUCUAGGUCUUUCUUUUGGGAUAAAACUCUUUUGGCAAGGCCCAACAUUGGUACUACAUUUCCCUAAUAACCUAAUAAAAUUUGCAUAGGGACUUUUCAAACCCCGUGGAUAAUCAAUCAACCCCCAGGCUAGUGAUCUUCAUGAGUGUUGGUCCAAACCAGAUCCACUUGCGGUGUCACCCGGGGCAACUUGGGGGAUUUCUAUCUGACCACCAUGUGUACCGAUCGUCCGUCGUGUCCUGGGAAUGAGAUACGCGACUCCUAUCGCGAUCGUCGACAUGCCACGCGACCUUGCUGGAUUUGUUUUACCUUUCUUGAACAUCUUGUGCCGAGGAUUCAGAGGAUACUUUGGCCAAUCUCGAGGUCGAGUUUUUCCACUAGGGAGCCGAGGAGAUCACGGGUUUUCCGUGGUUGAGGUUUCCGACGCAGCUUGUGGUAGUCUGUGAUGGACUAGUUGGAGCACCCCUACAGGGUUAAAUCUUUCUGAGAACCGUGCCCAAGGUUAUGUUGUAACUCGGAAACUUUGUUUAAAACCUGGGCAUAACAAACUUAAAGCGAACUUAUUUAAAAUUUGCCAAUUGUUUGCCUAACCAUGACUGUCUCUUCUUGUGAGUUCUGCAUCCGGAAGAGGAUACGGUAGGGUUAUGUUUGACAUAAAUAGGUGUUUAGUAUCACUUCAUGAUCAUUCUAGCUCAUGUACGAUUAUGCGUAGAUCACCCCCCUCUUAUUCUUGUACUCGUAAGUUAGCCACUCAACUAAAUGGUUAGUGCUUGCCGCAGCCUCGCCACUUAACCAUACCGAACCCAUUAAGCUUUGCUAGUCUUGAUACCUUUAGAAAUGAUAUUGUUGAGUCCAUAUGGCUCACAUAUUACUACAACAACAGUUGCAGGUACAGGUAAAACGAUACUUUGACGUGAGCGUGAUGAUUGUUCUAUUUGGAGUUUCUUCUUCUUCUUCAUCGAUCUAGGAUGGGUUCCAGGCCGACAGCCUAGUAUAGCAAGGAUGGACGUCGUUCUUUUAUCGUUUGUUUUUGUUCGUAGGCAGAUACUGCUCUUCUACAUGAUGUUUGAAUGUAUUGUUGUAUUGAGAUGUUCUUGUUGUAGCUUGUGGCGAGUAUACGCCAAUUCCAUAUACUCAUAUCUUCUGUACAUGUACUUGUAACGAUAUCCAUUCUUGUGAAACGUCAAUAUACGUUUCUAACCGUGUGGAGUCCCUCGUGCCAAAACAAGGAUUGGAUCACAUCUUGGGCAUUACAAGUUCGUAUCAGAGCAGUACCAACCUAGGAGCCCCCUUGAUUGAUCGAACUUGGUCGAGUCGGGUCUAUUUAAAAACUACUUUGAGUCUAGCUAUAUAUCAGAGAGUACGAUUCUUUUUACUCCUCUUAUAUGCUCUAGUGAGGAAUCUUGACGUAGGAAUUUUAAUUUUGUUCCUCUUUUCACACAAUUUUUUUGGUUCACGCUGGUAUUUUGGAAUAUAUACGAUGUCGAUGUGAUGGAGUUUUUCCUUGGUGCCUCCUGUCUGAUUUUAUUUCUUCCAGGGAGUUGAGCUCGAGGGCAUUCUUGACACAUCGUAAUCGUGUAGUUUUCUUAGUACCUAAGGAUGGGGGAUGUUUGAAAUUGCUUCAAUACUAGUAGUGGUGAGAUGAGUCUGGCUUCCCUAGUACUGGUGGAUAGAGUCUAGAUGUACUGUCAUACUUGGUAUCGUUAUGAUUACGAGGGUUCGAGAUAGAUGAGUUUUUGGCACUCUGGUUAUGUGUUGACGGAUGUUUUACAUUGGAGCGUAGUAUCAUGUUAGGAUUUGUGUGAAGUUUGGCUCCUUGUAUCCGUGGACCCGAUUGCAUAACUAGAAGUUUCGGGAGUUCUCAAGUGGGAAUUCAAGUAGUUACCUAGGAUUAUCUUCCAACAUAUGCAUGAUGUGAGGUUGGGGUUCAACAUCUAGUGGAUUAGUUUGUUCACGGUCUUUGUUACAGAGGAUAGUCUCGAUAUAUGUCAUCACAUAUGCUCCGUUAAGCCUUGUAGCUCGCUAUGCCUAGUGAGCAUAUUCGAGCGUCAUUUCAAUAUUACAAUCCAAUGUACGAUCGAGCCCGUGCAAACCUUACCACAAAAAUGUCGAACAGAAUCUCUGUCAUGAAUUUCUUUCUGGCUUAAUUUGCAAGCCUCAUCCUUGUUUUGUUGUAGUAUGGUAAUUCCACGUUCUUCGAUGUCAAGUGGUGAGUUCAAAUCUUUCCUAAGUGGUGUUCUUAUAUUUCUGCGCCAGUGCUAAUCUUUUGCUCAAUCGAAUUAUUUUAUCAAUUAUUUUCAAACCGGAGUCGUCAUGCCAAUUCUUUUCCAACCAGAGUGCUUUUGUUCAAGUUAAUUCAAUCUUCCGCAAUAUUUGCAAUAUCAGUCCUCAUAUUCUUUCUGAAGUUCGUCUCAUCUGUAGCAAGUUUUGUUUGUUUUCCCAACCCUCCCGCCAUUUUUCUUCAAUGAUUCAAUUAUCGUCCAAAUGCAUUUCUUUUCAUUAAUGCUUCCGCUUUCUUUUCUUCCAUAUCGUAUCCGGCGAUUCAUUAUGAAUAUGCUCAGUCCUAAGUGCAUCAUUCUUCAUUCUUGUGUUCUUCUCCAGUGGAUUCAAUUCAAGCUUUCGGUGUUCAUCAUAUCCUUUUUCAUUUGUCCAAUGCUUUUCGAUGUUGGAAAUUCUUAUCCAAGCCUCUCUUGUUUAUUCAUCCCUCUCUAUUUUAUCGGGUGUGCGAAAGAUAUCUCAGGAGAUUCGUGUAUUCAUUCAAUCCUUUCAAUUAUUUCGAGGGUCUCACCUCAUCGAGUAUUUAAUUUUUACCAGUGCAGUCUCUUCUUCCUAAUCAAUCCAUUCAACGGUGUCUUCUUUUGAGUGAGCCCAACCCACAGGUAUCCAAGGUUCUUACCUGGAUCUUCUAAUCUUUUCUGGAGAUCUAUAAUUCUUUUGAAGUGUGACGUAAGUAUGAAUUCCAACAGUCAUAUUCCUUCUUCAAGUUCAAUCUGAAUUUUGUUCAUCAUUGGCUCAAUCAUUUUUCAUUCAUUUAUCUAGAGUGUCUGAGUAAUUCUUGAUGGUGCUUGUUGCCAUCAUUCUCUGGGUUGAAGACCGAAGUAGAGUUCCUCUUAAAUCUUGGUCCAUUCUCUUGAAAAUUCAUGGUUUCAACUUGAUGUUAUCAUCUUGAGUUGUUUUCGAUCAUGAUGAAUCCCUUCCAUAUCUAUCCGGUGCAUUUUAGUGUUUUUUCAUUUCUCGUUCCUCCGAAGGACAUCAUUCCACAAGAUUUAUUCGUUCUCAAAUUCUUCUCAAUUGUGUCUCUUCAUUCGUAUCUCAAUUGUUCUGGUGCCUCAUUUAGUUUUCUGUUAGACGGAUCUUGAUCUCUUCGUUCUCACACAUCUCCAUUCAAUUGUCGCAUUCCCAUUCAUUUUCAAUUCUUACCGGUGGUGCGUCGAAAGCUUCUUCAAGUUGUGCUCAUAUCUCUCCUCAAUCUUUUUAAGAAUAAUAAGUGGUAUGCCAAAUCCAUUGCUUUUCAUCAAUUUAACUUGAUGAAGGAUAUGCACUACAUAAUUCUUAUUCUUAUUUCUUCUAGGUGAUUUCAAUUCUUCCUCCGGUGUGGUUCAUGAUAUCUAAUUCGCGAUUCUGAGUUGUUCCUCUAUUUUUUCGGGGUCUCAAGUAUCUCUUCGCGGACCUUCAUCAAAAUCUUUGCAAUGCCUUAAUCUAAUUAUUUUUCAACCUUCAAUUCUUUCUAUCAUCCUUUCAUUCUUGUGUUCUUAAAGUGGUUCUUCAUGGUGGUUCAUUAAGGAUGUAAUUCUUUCUCAAAGUGUUCUUCAAUAUUUUGUUGGAGGACCUCAAGUGUUCUUUCCCUUGCAUUUCAAAGUCGAGUUCUUCCUCCAUUUUCCUUUGAGGUGGUGUUAUAGCAUUCUUGACUCAUGAGGAGUCUCGAAGGGAAUGUGUUUCAAGAAUGAGAUAUUUAAACCCACCAAAUUCUUUGAUAAUUAGAUAUUUUCAACCCAUGAUUUCUUCAUUGAAGUUAUCUUGGAUUAGAUUUCACCAAAAUCUUUUCCUAAGGAUUGUUGAUAUUAUGGUGAUUAUCGUUGAUCCAAGUUCUCAAUGCAUCGGCUGUUUUUUAUUCAUUAUCUAGUUCUAGAAAAAUCACGUUCUUUCCCUUACUUACCCGUUUGACCGGAAUGUUGUGUUAUACUUUCAAGCUCUUUCCAUCUUAUCAAGUUUUGUCUCUAUUUCCUACCGAAGUGGUGCCGAAAUUUCUUUUGAAUUCUUGUUGUUCCUCAUGUCAUUCUACAUCUCUUGCAACCUUCAAAGAUUGUAUGUUUCACUCGUUUUUCAAAGAAGAAACUAAGUUUUUCCUCUUCCUUUCCUCUUCCUCUUCCCCUUUUCAAGCUUAGAUCUCGAGGCGACAUCUCUUGUUAGUGCAGGAGAGUUGUAACAACCCGGAAUCGACGCUCAGAAGAUUCCCCUUUUAUUUCGUUUUCAUCGUGUGAUUUAUUCUGUUGUUGCAUUCAUCAUUGCAUCAUGCGCAUCAUCCGCAUUGCAUCGACACUCUCUUUCCAUCAUUUUUCAAAAAACAUGCAUCUAUUGUUAGUUGCGGUUCUCUCCACUUUUGUCAUUGACCGUCUUGAGACCAAGAACAUACGCACGUGCCCGCGUCAUUGUUAAAAUAUUGUUUUUAGAAAGUGCGUAUAAAACUUUGUUGAAUUGGCUGGAAAGUUGGCGUGCACUCUUAUUAUCGUGUAGGCAGGCCGCCUCCCAAAUUUCAUCGCAUUCGGAGUCCGUUUGAUACUCUGGACGUUAAACCUAUAGUGACACUAUAGCCGGUUAACUGCACUCAUUUCAGUGUUUAAAACUUGAUGCCGGGCUGCCCGUUUUCCAUCUCUUCUAUGCCUAGCCCAUCUACACACUGCACAAACCUGGCCAAUUAGCCUGAAGGCCUCUCGGAACCCUAAUCUUACUGUUGUGACCGUUGGGUACGGAUCAACCCAGUAAUACCCCAAACCGUCAUCGGUUUUGUUAUUGGACCCUCUAAACUUUGGUAUCGACCGUCCCAUAUAGAUCGGAGGUUCCCAACAUAUCCAACCGUGCUAUUUAUUUGCGAAACCCCGGCAAACCCUGAACCCUAGGAUCUGUCCCAUCCUACCCUAGUUCCGUCCGCCGCCGCCUCACUCCUCCUCUCCUCAGGAUCCUCCCCAAUGAACGCACCCUUAUUCCCUCCUCGUUUUGCAACCCAGCCAACCAGUGCUCCCGAGGCGAUCCAUCCAUCCACCAAAGCUUGCGUAGCCCCCUUUGCCUCCCGCCCGUGAGUCCAGCCCUGCAGCCCUCGUCCCUGACCACGAGGUCGUGCAACCCGCGUCUCCCCCACCGGCGAGCAUCCUCAGUGCCCUAUCAGUAAGCCUCUCCUCCUGAAGACCAAGGCCUCGUACCCGAGCACGCUGCUCUAACGAGCUCAUGCAGGACCCGAUGCCUCCUCCUCAAGCAUCCUUGCGCUGACGGAGACCGGCGCCGCCGUCGGAGACCAGGAGCCCCCGACUCGACCUCGAGCUGCCGCACAGACCCGUUCGACGGCCGUAGGCACCCGCGUCUCCUCCUCCCUCUCGUGUCAGGUGCAUGCACGAGCUCGACCACGGGCCCCAGGUCACGCCGGUGCCCUUGGCUCGUCAUCUCCCUCAAGCACGGUCUCUCUCUCACCCGUUCUCUCCCCUCUUCUUACAAGAACCCGUGUAGCCAUGGCCAUGGAGCCCCGCCAUCGGUGGUCUCCUCCUUGUCGGACCUGGACCUGCAGUGACCUCGUGUUCCAUUCUGGGUGGAAUUACUCGCCUUCGUCGCUGCAGAGGUAGAGCCGUCGCGCAUCCAGGCCGCCUCCUCCUCUUGGUCGGGAGGGAGACGACGCCCGCCGUCGGCAUUGACCGUGAGCACCAGCGGCGCGUGGGCCAGCCCCGACAACCAUGCCACUAUGGCCCAGCAGCGUGACCGUGCCGACCCAGUGCCCCACACGGCCCGUCUCUAGCACCCAAGGCGGCCAAGCAAGCCCAUGGUGAGCAGCUUCUCUACCUCCCUGUCGGGCUUGGCCCAAUGCCGUUUUUUGCUAUAAUUCACAUGUGCGCUAGAUAUCUAUUAGAUGCUCGCAUGUACCUGCACAGUAAUUCUAGAUUCGGCCCAUCUUGUUUUUCCUUCUCACGAAUUUAGCAAUUUUGAGUGAUUAACAUAUUUACACAAAACCCCCUAAACAAAUGCAUUUAUUAACUUGAGAACCGUGCAUCGGUUGAAAAAUGCUUAGAACUCUCUGUCGUUUCACAAUAUCCAACUCCCUCAUGUGUUUAAAAUAUAUUAACUUGUUGUUUUCAUGUAAUUUGCAUAGUGUCAUGCUAAAACAAUUUUCAUCAUAACUAAUUAACGUAGCUCCGAUUAAAAUGAUCCACACAUGUAAGUUAACUAGAAAAAUGUGUAGAACAACAUGGCGACAUUUAUUUUGCUGUUUAACAACUCUAAAGUUAUGUAUAGGCAGAACAGUACCGAAAUCUUAUUUGCAUCUAGGGACUUUUUGGAAUUGUUAUUCGUUGUACCGACCUCAUUUAAACUUGCCUAGAAUUUUAUGUAGUUUCAUAAUAACUUGUUGCAUCCAUGAUUUACAUUCUUGUGGCUAAGAGUUGCAUACACUUUGCAUUCAUAGCAUAUUAUCUUGUGAUGGUCAUAUCUUUUAGACCAUAGCUCCGUUUUAAAUGAUAUAUAUAUGUAAACCGACUAGAAUGACGUGUAGAAUCACAUGCUCCACUUUAUUCUACUGUUUAAUAAAUAUAAAACAUGUUGUACGCAGAUCGGGUCCAAUUUCAAAAUUAACAUACGGGGUCAUUUCGGAAAUGUUAUAUGUUGCUUCCGACCUCAUUUAACAUGCCUAGGUAGUGUAGUUUAUUUAAGUUUCACCUCUUGGCAUGUUUAACAACAUUUAAUAUUGUCGUGCACCUAAACCGGAGUAAACUAAGUAAUUCAAAUGUGAAGUUUCGUGUAACGCCCAAGAUGCGGUCCUACCGAUAUUUUGGCGCGAGGGCCUCGACAGGGAUAGAAAUGCAUCUCGUUGUUUCACAAGAAUGGAUAUCGUUAUAACUACAUAUACUGAAAAGAUGAGUAUAAGGAGUUGUCUUACACUCGCCACAAGCUACAUUAGAGUCACAUUAAUACACCAACAUAAUCAAUCAUCAUGAAGAAGAGUAGGGUCCGACUACGGGCGAAAAUAGAUGAUAAAACAACGACGUCCAUCCUUGCUAUUCCUAGGCUGCCAGCCUGGAACCCAUCCUAGAUCGACGAAGAAGAAGAA
rnacentral:lncRNA from 1 species